UGAGGAAUAUUGGACAAUGGGCGCAAGCCUGAUCCAGCAAUGCCGCGUGCAGGAUGAAGGCCUUCGGGUUGUAAACUGCUUUUGUACGGAGCGAAAAGGUCUGCCCUAAUACGGUGGGCUCAUGACGGUACCGUAAGAAUAAGCACCGGCUAACUACGUGCCAGCAGCCGCGGUAAUACGUAGGGUGCGAGCGUUAAUCGGAAUUACUGGGCGUAAAGCUUGCGCAGGCGGUUAUAUAAGACAGAUGUGAAAUCCCCGGGCUCAACCUGGGACCUGCAUUUGUGACUGUAUAGCUAGGGUACGGUAGAGGGGGAUGGAAUUCCGCGUGUAGCAGUGAAAUGCGUAGAUAUGCGGAGGAACACCGAUGGCGAGGGCAAUCCCCUGGACCUGUACUGACGCUCAUGCACGAAAGCGUGGGGAGCAAAC
rnacentral:rRNA from 1 species